GUGUCCCAGACUGCAAGUACACAUGCCACGCUCACUGCCGAGACCUGGUGCACCUGGGCUGCCGGCGGAAUGGGAAAUUAAUGGCCUGCCUCGCUGCACAUGGCACCUUAGACGGAUCUGACAACGGUCAGUCUUCAGACGGACUGACACAGAGCAGCCUACAUGACUGUUUUCUCUGUGUGCGUACAGCCUCUCUGAAGUUUUGGAGCAGCACCUGGACCAGAUGAUGUUGGAGCCAUUCUGCUUGGCAGUGUCCCCAGCUCACAUUUUGGAGCCUUCUUUAGCCUGAGGUUGCCUGCUGGAGAGUGAGCACAG
rnacentral:lncRNA from 1 species